CCAAGUCUGCUGCGGUAGGCAAUCUCCCUCCACUUGAAGAUUAAUCAAAAUUCAAUUUGUCUUCAAAUUCAAUGAAAUUUAUUCCAUAAGAAGCUCAGCUUAAAGAUGCACUUACUUCAAAAAUUUCACAAUAAUUCAAUUAGGAGGCACUAAAAAAUGCCUUUUCAAAGGUGGUUGGUCUAAACUGCUAAGGCAAGCGACCCCCGUAUACUCAAAAUUCUGCCUUUAAUCCAAAUCAAGCGAUCCUUGAAUUUUUGGAAAUUUAACAACAAAAUCUAUAAUUGAAAAAAGGACUCACAUCAAAACAAAAAUAAAUGAAUAAUUGAUUGAGGGAAAUCCAAGAUUCUUGAAUCCUUAGGAUAUUUGGAAGGCUGAGGGAACUAUCUACCACAAUGACCUAUGCCUUAAAACCCAAUGACCAUCAUUUAUUAAUCCAAAUCAAUGCAUAUCCAACCACAAGUUUACAAUAAAAUCAAAAAAAAAAUUUAAGAUUAGGGUUUAGGGCCAAAAUUCGACAUGGCAUUGCCCUUCAUCAAAGAGGAGAAAGAGAGGGCUUAGAAAACCAAGCCUCUCUUAUACAAUUGAAUGAAGGCUUGUAGAAGGGUGGCUGCAUCUUCACCCCUGAUUUCUAAGAUCCCUAAUCUAGAUCUACAACCUUCAUUCAUUCAAGAGCCAAUCUCAUUACUAAGGCUGAUGGCUCUUGUAAGUAGUCAAGAAAGUAUUUUUUGGUAAAUCUAACUUCACCAUUGUAUUCAAAACAUUUUUUAAGCUAUGACCGACUACUCACAUGCCUCAA
rnacentral:lncRNA from 1 species